AACAAGAGAAACGAACGAGAAGGAAAAAAGGGAAGAAGAGAAUAAGGAAGAGAUUGAAGCAAAGAAAAAGGAAUUUGGGAGAGAAAGGAUUUUGGGAAUUUGAGAAGGUUCUAGAAAGUGAAAGAUCAAGUCGUAAGUGUUGAUCCCGCGAGGAUUCAACAAGAAGAGAAAUUGAUUCAAGAGUAGAUCAAGCAUCGAAGACAUAAAAAGUUCAAAGUCGGUAAAUUAAAUUAUUUUAAGAUUUUAUUCAUGUUGUAAUCUUCUAAGUAACUGAUAAAAUUUUGUGUGAUAUCUUAUGAUUUUAUGGCUUUAAGAACAAAUUCAUCCGCUAUAAAAGUUUGAAAGUAUAUGAUAAUGAGAAAAUAAAAGAGAAAAUAGAAAAGAAAAGGGAAACAAAAGACUAUAUGCUUGGAAGUAAAACAGAUGUAAUAUAACAAGGAAAAGGUAUUGAAAAAUCUUAUAGGAGUUCACCCACUUAUGGUACUGGCUGGGGAUGCCGUACUCGUGCACGUAAAAAGGAAAAAAGAAAUGAAAAAUAGAAAAAGUAAAAUGUAAAAGGUUGUACCUUUGGGUACAUUAAGACGGUGCUCCUAUAUGAAUUAAGUGGG